rnacentral:lncRNA from 1 species
GGAAGAGGACGCCAGAGGAAGGCAUCCUCGAUAAGCUCCAGUUCUAUGGUCUCAACCAGUUGCUUCAUGGGAAGCCUGGAUGCUACUGUGGUCACAUGGGCAUGAAGACGGGAACAAGAACCAGACUUCAGCAUGGUCUUCAUCACAACUAUUGCCAGGGGGAUUCAAAGUACUUCUGAAAUACAUAGAAACUCUCUUGGAUCCAUUUCACCUUCUAGCUGUUUUGCCAUUUCUUCCCCUCGUCUACAGCAAAACUCUACAAAAGAAUUGAUUAUGGUCAUCGUCUCAGUAGGAGCUGCACUGACGUCAUCUCCUAGGAUGGGCUCUGUAGAGUUUCCACCACCUCUAAGAGAAAAUGGGCAGAGGACAUGCUGACUGAGAUGUCCUGGAGGACAAUGAGCACUCAUCCCAUUUGUGCUCAUGAAGGCUUAACCAUCAAGGGCUCAGAGCUUCCCUGGCUCUUCCACCCAAAGUGCCCAGGAGUAGGAGGAGCUUCCUGAGAGCACUCUGGAAGCUCACCACACUGUGAACCAGGGAACCCUGGGGAGCAUGAGUAAAAGACUGAC